rnacentral:rRNA from 2 species
GAUGAAACUUAGUAGACUUCUUCGGAAAGACACUAAGCGGAUUAGUGGCGAACGGGUGAGUAACGCGUGAGUAACCUGCCUUACACAAGGGGAUAGCCUUUGGAAACGAAGAAUAAUACCCUAUAAAACCAUAAAAGCACAUGCUAGAAUGGUCAAAGUGAUAGCGGUGUAAGAUGGACUUGCGUCUGAUUAGCUAGUUGGUGAGAUAAAAGCUCACCAAGGCAACGAUCAGUAGCCGGCUUGAGAGAGUGUACGGCCACAUUGGGGCUGAGACACGGCCCAGACUCCUACGGGAGGCAGCAGUGGGGAAUUUUGCACAAUGGGGGAAACCCUGAUGCAGCGACGCCGCGUGAUUUAGAAGGCCUUCGGGUUGUAAAAAUCUUUUGUAUAGGAAGAAAAUGACAGUACUAUACGAAUAAGGUCCGGCUAAUUACGUGCCAGCAGCCGCGGUAAUACGUAAGGACCGAGCGUUGUCCGGAAUCAUUGGGCGUAAAGGGUACGUAGGCGGCUAGAAAAGUUAGAAGUCAAAGGCUAUAGCUCAACUAUAGUAAGCUCCUAAAACUAUUUAGCUUGAGAAAUGGAAGGGAAAGUGGAAUUCCUAGUGUAGCGGUGGAAUGCGCAGAUAUUAGGAAGAAUACCGGUGGCGAAGGCGACUUUCUGGCCAUUAUCUGACGC